GGGAAGGUGGUUCAGUGGUAGAGCACUUGCCUUGCAUGCAUGAGGCCCUGGGUUCCAUCCCU
rnacentral:tRNA from 1 species